UGAUUGACGUAAUAUUCCUACCAUCAAGGUCCUAUCCGUUCAUCCCUUCAAUAGUAUCCCUCAUCGAUUGCUCAUCGCGGAAAGUAACGAAGCCAAACCCUCUGAUCUCCCAGUCUCACGAUUGCUGAUGAUCUUCGAGAGGGAUUUCAG